UGCUCGUGUCUCCUCAAAAAU
rnacentral:piRNA from 1 species